GUAUAAUAAUUAAACCGCAUGGUUUUAGUUUAAAAGAUGGUCUUGCUAUCACUAAGAGAUGGUCCCGCGGUGUAUUAGUUAGUUGGUGAGGUAAUGGCUCACCAAGACAAUGAUACAUAGCCGAGUUGAGAGACUGACCGGCCACAAUGGGACUGGGACACGGCCCAUACUCCUACGGGAGGCAGCAGUAGGGAAUCUUCCACAAUGGACGAAAGUCUGAUGGAGCAACGCCGCGUGUGUGAUGAAGGGUUUCGGCUCGUAAAACACUGUUGUAAGAGAAGAAUGACAUUGAGAGUAACUGUUCAAUGUGUGACGGUAUCUUACCAGAAAGGAACGGCUAAAUACGUG
rnacentral:rRNA from 1 species